rnacentral:rRNA from 1 species
CGGGGAGGUAGUGACGAAAAAUAACGAUACGGGACUCAUCCGAGGCCCCGUAAUCGGAAUGAGUACACUUUAAAUCCUUUAACGAGGACCAAUUGGAGGGCAAGUCUGGUGCCAGCAGCCGCGGUAAUUCCAGCUCCAAUAGCGUAUAUUAAAGUUGUUGCGGUUAAAAAGCUCGUAGUUGAAUCUGUGUGUCACAGUGUCGGUUCACCGCUCGCGGUGUUUAACUGGCAUUAUGUGGUACGUCCUACCGGUGGGCUUAGCUCCUCGCGGGCGGUCCAACUAAUAUCCCAUCGCGGUGCUCUUCACUGAGUGUCGAGAUGGGCCGGUACGUUUACUUUGAACAAAUUAGAGUGCUCAAAGCAGGCUACCUUCGCCUGAAUAUUGUGUGCAUGGAAUAAUGGAAUAGGACCUCGGUUCUAUUUUGUUGGUUUUCGGAACCCCGAGGUAAUGAUUAAUAGGGACAGAUGGGGGCAUUCGUAUUGCGACGUUAGAGGUGAAAUUCUUGGAUCGUCGCAAGACGGACAGAAGCGAAAGCAUUUGCCAAAAAUGUUUUCAUUAAUCAAGAACGAAAGUUAGAGGUUCGAAGGCGAUCAGAUACCGCCCUAGUUCUAACCAUAAACGAUGCCAGCUAGCGAUCCGCCGAAGUUCCUCCGAUGACUCGGCGGGCAGCUUCCGGGAAACCAAAGCUUUUGGGUUCCGGGGGAAGUAUGGUUGCAAAGCUGAAACUUAAAGGAAUUGACGGAAGGGCACCACCAGGAGUGGAGCCUGCGGCUUAAUUUGACUC